rnacentral:lncRNA from 1 species
AACUAUGGAGCUACGCCCUCGCCUCGCGCUGCCGCGCCGCUCACGUGCGAACCUGUAACACCCCAAAACCAUGUGGGGUGAGAACCAACUCCAUGGUUCCCAGUGGGUACGGCCACCCAAGGGAAAAGCUCGACCAAUAGGUCCAAGGGAGGCAACUGCAAGUUAGUUCAAUAAAUAGAUAGAUACAUAUCUUGAUUAUGCAACGAAUAAAACCAUGCAUUGCCUCACGAACGCAAUAAUAUAAUGCUAUAUGCAAAUCAUGCAAUAAUGCAACUAUGCAACCAACUAGUAGUUCAUUCGAUACUACUUUCAAUUCUGCUAACCAUAGCUCAUCCAUUUGAUAUUUAAGGUUUCCUCUAUCUUAGAUUCUUGUCAAUCACCGUUUUAAUCAUAAGGUUUCAUCUUCCUUUACAAGGCUAACCACCCGACUCGGUCUUGAGUCAAUCGUCUGCGGAGUACCGCACGAGAACCAGGCUCGAGGCGAUGGACGUCUCACAUACACCUCAGCCCUAAAUCCUCUCGACUGGGAUACCAAUCCAUAACUCAUAAGGUAUACUUGUUGUACAAUCAUUUGGCUAUGACCCAAUCUUACCGGUUAACCAUGUUAACCCCAAUAACUCACAACCAAAUCCCUUAAUAACGGGGGACUCGAACCUCCCUAGGGACCGUCAACUGGUGGGACUUUACCACGCCCAGUGGUGACCAACUCCGGAGCGCACCGCCCGAGGGGGAGCUACCUCCCUCAAGCCAAGACGUAACGUGAGUAUCGAUCCAAUCCUCAACUUGAGGAUUCAUAGCCACUCGUCACAAUGCCAAUGUCAUGAUAGGUCUUUACCUAUUUAAUCAUGCCACUCUCUAUGUCAACUUGGACCAAUGUCAAUAUGAUUAAACUAUGUUUAACAAUUACUUUCUUGAUGCCAAUCAUGUCUCUAUUGUCAUGGUCGCCCUUGUUUACUAAUGUUCAAGUCCAACUCUCACAUUUACACAAUAAUAGGGUCCUAACAUACAUGAAUGACACCAGAAUAUAUAUGAUCAAUCACCACAAGUAUUUGCUAGGUUCAAGAUGCUAGGUUUAAUGCCACUCAAUCUAAUACAUAUAUAGAUUGUCCACUAUGUUCCACAACAUGGCAAUAUGUCAUCAAGUAUGUUUUUCUAUUUAACAUAAUCCACAAUAUGUAAAUUCAUAAUAUAUCAUCAUGCACAUAUACCACUAGCAUCACAUGAUUUGUCAACAUACAUAUAGUCAUUAUCCAAAAUAGUCCAUACUUAGCAUCUCAUGCAUUCUUUUACCACUUAAUUCAUUAUGCAUUACAUUUAGCAUAUUCUACAACAUGUCAUCAUACAUUCCUUUUAUGAUGUUCUUAUAAUGCUAACAUUCAUACGCCCUUUAUAUUAUGCAUUCAAAGCAUUAAUCAUAUGCAUUUAUCUAGCAUUUCUAUAGUAUGUUAACAUGCAUUCUUUUCACAUUCUUAUAUUAUGUCAAUAUGCAUCAAUAUGAAAUCUCAUUUCUUAGACAUAAAGGGCGACCUAGUCGCUUCGGUAAGCACAACCCACCUCAUUUCGCGUUCCGAUUGUUUGUCGACACUUGCAAUCGGCCGCCCACGGCACCUGGCACCCGGUUUGACCCGAUCUCUUGCGCGACCACCCGAACGGCCUCCAAUUCAUGAUCCGAAAAUUAAAGGUCUUCGGUUAUGUGCCACGAUACUUCAAAUCCAUUUUCAUGAAUUUACGAUAUCGCCUCGGCCCUCCAGGCGAAAACGAAGCCUAAACAUCCGUUUCUUUAAUAACUUCGCAAUGGCUCGACGAAUCGCCGAACCGUCUUCGCCAACGCGUUCGUUUACCUAGCAAUUAGGUUUACGGAGGGUCAAAUGAGAUCAAACCCUCAUAUUUUACAAAACCCCAUUCGGAGCCCUAACAUGCAAUUAACCUCUAAAUAAUCCAAAUUAAAUGGAGCAAACAUAUUUAGAAUGCUCAUUAGAGGCUAUUAGAACACUUAGAACUAAGGAUUAAGCCAAAUCCUAAAAGCUUACCUCAAUGUGAACGCCGCGACGAAAACACGCCGCUCCAACGGGCGCACGAAAGCUCAAUCCGUCGCCUCCAACGCGUUCGCAAGCAUAUUCUCCACCAACCCCGCGAAUUUGAGCGAGAGAUAUAGAGAAAUGAGAGAGAUCUCUAGAAAGAGAAAGGAGAGUUUCUCUCCUCUCUCCAUGUGUGCGUGCGGUGUGUGUGGGUGUGCACGGCUGAAGGAGGAAGAAGAAGCAUCAUGCUUCUAUUUAAUUACACCCCAACACUAUUCACUUCCAGGCAGCUUAAAAUCUGAUAACUUUCGCCGGAGCUCCCUAAAUGUCCGUUUGAGCUCAAACUUGACAGUCAUGUUCGGUUUUAAUUAACUUAACAAGCUGACGAUGUGACGCACUGGACCUUGCAAAUUGCGAGGUUCGAGUGUUUGAUCUAUGUGACGAGCCAUCUCAGACUUUCUGAAGGGUCGUAGACGGUGUUCCGACCCAUGGUUCGAGUCCCGAGAAUUGUGGUUUGAAACAGUGUACCAAAACCCGAAAAAUCAGAUUUUGGUUAGCUCUCGGGUUGCCUUCUGAGGGCUGUGUACCGGUACGGGAGUGAUGGCUGUACCGGUACAGCCAUCGACUUUGGCCGCUUCUCAGCCAACCCGAGGCUCGGGCUGGGCAUUUUCGUAGAGGGUGUACCGGUACGCGGGCCCGUGUACCGGUACGCAGUGCAGUAUUUGAACUGUUCGAAACUGCAGGGGGUUUUUCGCAUUUGUGGACUUUUAUAUGUGUCCCCACGCCCCAUGGAGCUCUCCCUGAGCUGGAAACCGUGGAGAAGCAAGGUAGGGAGAACCUCUUCUCCUCCCUUUGGUUUUGAUCACCUUUUUGCUUGGGUUUUGAU